rnacentral:rRNA from 1 species
CCUACGGGUGGCUGCAGUGGGGAAUAUUGCGCAAUGGGCGAAAGCCUGACGCAGCCACGCCGCGUGAGCGAUGAAGGCCUUCGGGUCGUAAAGCUCUGUGGGGAGAGACGAAGAAAGCCUGUGAAGAGCAGGCCUUGACGGUAUCUCCUUAGCAAGCACCGGCUAACUCCGUGCCAGCAGCCGCGGUAAUACGGAGGGUGCAAACGUUGCUCGGAAUUAUUGGGCGUAAAGCGCACGUAGGCGGCGGCGUAAGCGGAAUGUGAAAGCCUGGGGCU